AAUAAUAUUGAAGGUGACCUGAUGCCCAGGUUCCAUGAUUUGUUUAAUGGACAACUACAAUUAUUUCACUUAAACUUUGGAAUGAUCACGUUGUUGCCAAAGAAGGAGGAGGCAGUUCGUAUUGAGCAAUUCCGGUCGUUAUGUCUGCUUAAUGUGAGUUUCAAGAUUUUCACAAAAGUUGGUACAAAUCGCCUUACUCGAAUUGCACAUAGUGUGGUGCAACCGACUCAGACGGAUUUCAUGCCAGGAGGACACAUCUUGGAGGGUGUGGUCAUUCUUCAUGAAACCUUGAAUGAAAUCCACUCAGAUAAACUGGAUCCGGUUGUCUUCAAAGUGGAUUCGGGAAGGUAUAUGACAAAGUUA
rnacentral:rRNA from 1 species